rnacentral:rRNA from 1 species
UACGUAGGUGGCAAGCGUUGUCCGGAUUUACUGGGCGUAAAGAGCGCGCAGGCGGUCGUUCAAGUCGCGUGUGAAAGCCCCCGGCUCAACUGGGGAGGGUCACGCGAUACUGAUCGACUCGAAGGCAGGAGAGGGUAGUGGAAUUCCCGGUGUAGUGGUGAAAUGCGUAGAUAUCGGGAGGAACACCAGAGGCGAAGGCGGCGACCUGGACAAGCACUGACACUCAACUACGAAAGCGUGGGGAGCAAACAGG